rnacentral:rRNA from 1 species
GGCUUGUUUGAUCCUGGCUCAGGACGAACGCUGGCGGCAUGCCUCACACAUGCAAGUCGAACGGGGUAUAGACUAAAGCUUCCUUUGGACUAUACCUAGUGGCGGACGGGUGAGUAACGCGUGGGCAACCUACCCUACAGACCGGGAUACCAUCGGGAAACUGAUGUUAAUACCGGAUACACUUAGCUUAGGGCAUCCUAGGCUAAGGAAAGAACUAUCGCUGUAGGAUGGGCCUGCGUUCCAUUAGCUAGUUGGUAGGGUAACGGCCUACCAAGGCGACGAUGGAUAGCUGGUCUGAGAGGACGAUCAGCCACACUGGGACUGAGACACGGCCCAGACUCCUACGGGAGGCAGCAGUGGGGGAUAUUGCGCAAUGGGCGAAAGCUGACGCAGCAAUGCCGCGUGAAGGAAGAAGGUCUUCGGAUUGUAAACUUCUGUUAAGAGGGAUGAAAAAAAUGACAGUACCUCA